rnacentral:misc_RNA from 1 species
GAUGAAGAACGUAGCGAAAUGCGAUAAGUAGUGUGAAUUGCAGAAUUCAGUGAAUCAUCGAAUCUUUGAACGCACAUUGCGCCCUUUGGUAUUCCUUAGGGCAUGCCUGUUCGAGCGUCAUUUGAAACCUCAAGCUCAGCUUGGUGUUGGGUGUCUGUCCCCGCCUCCGCGGGGACUCGCCUCAAAAUCAUUGGCGGCCGGUACGUUGGCUUCGAGCGCAGCAGAAACGCGAACUCGAGGCCCGGCGGAUCGGCGACCAGAAGUCUCUUCUUCACAGUUUGACCUCGGAUCAGGUAGGGAUACCCGCUGAACUUAAGCAUAUCAAAAAGCGGAGGA